rnacentral:misc_RNA from 1 species
GAUGAAGAACGCAGCGAAAUGCGAUAAGUAAUGUGAAUUGCAGAAUUCAGUGAAUCAUCGAAUCUUUGAACGCACAUUGCGCCCGCCAGUAUUCUGGCGAGCAUGCCUGUUCGAGCGUCAUUUCAACCAUCAAGCCCCAGGCUUGUGUUGGAGCCCUGCGGCUGCCGCAGCCUCCCAAAACCAGUGGCGGGCUCGCUAUCACACCGAGUGCAGUAGUUUACUCUUCGCUCAGGGCGUGUGGCGGGUGCUAGCCGUGAAACCCCCAACUUCUCAAGGUUGACCUCGGAUCAGGUAGUAAUACCCGCUGAACUUAAGCAUAUCAAUAAGCGGAGGA